rnacentral:lncRNA from 1 species
UUGAAACUUUACGAUAAAAAAAAAAAAACCCGCAAAGACUUGUUUUCUCGCAUGGAUUCAGGUUAAUCGUAUAAAACGGCAACGCUUAACUUAACAUCUUAGCCGCCUUAACUAUACGAUUAUGUUGAACCUUUUUACGAAAAUCGACGUCUUAUCUAAGGAGAAGAUAACAGUCAAGUUCGGAAGAUAAAUGUCAAGUUUCAAAGGAUAAACACCAAUAUCGGAAAUGGCGAACAUACACGAGAAGAGGAAAGGGAAAUGAGAAAGCAAAACUGAGAAAAGACAAAACUGUAUCUUUGAGAGGAUUAAGAUCUUGCAAACCGAUCUAAACUCUCCGAAAGUCGAGGAACGAUCGCCGCGCAUAUCAAGCUCGCUUCCUAAAGAGAGAAAAAGUUAGAGACAUGAACGUCGUCUUAAAACCAAUUCGUUUCUGGCAAUUUUCUCGGAACCGACAUAUCCCAAGUCGUCAACGUGGAAACAACCAAAUCACAGUCCAAGCGUCAUCUAUAAAUCGUCUCGAAUUAUCGAUCAUUCCAAACAUCAGAAGAGGAAACGUACACAACCCUUCAAAGUAUCGUUUCAACCGUUUUCUUUCGUAAAAAAAAAAAAAAAGGGGAGUAGGUACGUAUACUAUACUCGUAUACUCCCAAACUUCAAAAUCUUCCGCAAAUCGUCAAAAAUAGGCAAACGACAAUCUUAAUAUUCGUCUAAACGCUAGCAACAUAUUCAGACGAUCAUGAACAUAAUCUCAAAAACUAUAUAUCAUUUCUUGUCGCAAUCAUGCGUACAGAAAACUUGUACCAAUAUCAAACUGAAACUCGACGAUUAGCCAAAGUAUUGAAGCCUUUUCCGGCUUCAG